CAGUCUUUCUGGACUCGCCUUCCCCAGUUAAUCAGUCAGGAAUCUCAGCACAAGCGAAAGUUUCCAAGGGAGAGUGGACAUUUCAUUGAAAGCAGCAUAAAUGUCUUUUUUUUCCCUUCUACUUUAUCGGGGAAUGAAAAUAGAUUGAAGGCAGAAAGCUCUGGCAUCUACAGGAGGCCGAAGCGUCCAGGCGGCUUGUGACUGGCUGUUUUCACACGUGUGCGACCCCUUUCUCGAU